rnacentral:rRNA from 1 species
GGCCUCGAAUCAGGUAGGACUACCCGCUGAACUUAAGCAUAUCAAUAAGCGGAGGAAAAGAAACUAACAAGGAUUCCCCUAGUAACGGCGAGUGAAGCGGGAAGAGCUCAAAUUUGAAAUCUGGUGGACUUCGUUCAUCCGAGUUGUAAUCUAGAGAAGUGUUUUCCGUGCCGGCCAAUGUACAAGUCCCUUGGAACAGGGCAUCAUAGAGGGUGAGAAUCCCGUACUUGACAUUGAUCACCGGUGCUCUGUGAUACACUUUCAAAGAGUCGAGUUGUUUGGGAAUGCAGCUCAAAAUGGGUGGUAAAUUCCAUCUAAAGCUAAAUAUUGGCGAGAGACCGAUAGCGAACAAGUACCGUGAGGGAAAGAUGAAAAGCACUUUUGGAAAGAGAGUUAAACAGUAUGUGAAAAUUGUUAAAAAGGGAAACGAUUGAAAGUCAGUCAUGCCUUCUGGACUCAGCCGGUUCUUCCGGUGUACUUCCAGUCGACGGGGUCAACAUCAGUUUUGCUCGGUGGAUAAGGGCUGGAGGAAGGUAGCACCCCCGGGUGAGCUUAUAGCCUCCUGUCGCAUACGCCGGGUGGGACUGAGGAACGCAGCAUGCCUUUCGGCCGGGGCUCGCCCACGUACAUGCUUAGGAUGUUGACAUAAUGGCUUUAAACGACCCGUCUUGAAACACGGACCAAGGAGUCUAACAUAUCUGCGAGUAUUUGGG